rnacentral:rRNA from 1 species
CUGCAGUGGCGGCUGCUUACACAUGCAGUCGAACGGUAAGGCCCUUCGGGGUACACGAGUGGCGAACGGGUGAGUAACACGUGGGUGAUCUGCCCUGCACUUUGGGAUAAGCCUGGGAAACUGGGUCUAAUACCGAAUAGGACUCCGGACUGCAUGGUCUGGGGUGGAAAGCUUUUGCGGUGUGGGAUGGGCCCGCGGCCUAUCAGCUUGUUGGUGGGGUGAUGGCCUACCAAGGCGACGACGGGUAGCCGGCCUGAGAGGGUGACCGGCCACACUGGGACUGAGAUACGGCCCAGACUCCUACGGGAGGCAGCAGUGGGGAAUAUUGCACAAUGGGCGCAAGCCUGAUGCAGCGACGCCGCGUGGGGGAUGACGGCCUUCGGGUUGUAAACCUCUUUCAGCACAGACGAAGCGCAAGUGACGGUAUGUGCAGAAGAAGGACCGGCCAACUACGUGCCAGCAGCCGCGGUAAUACGUAGGGUCCGAGCGUUGUCCGGAAUUACUGGGCGUAAAGAGCUCGUAGGUGGUUUGUCGCGUUGUUCGUGAAAACUCACAACUCAAUUGUGGGCGUGCGGGCGAUACGGGCAGACUGGAGUACUGCAGGGGAGACUGGAAUUCCUGGUGUAGCGGUGGAAUGCGCAGAUAUCAGGAGGAACACCGGUGGCGAAGGCGGGUCUCUGGGCAGUAACUGACGCUGAGGAGCGAAAGCGUGGGGAGCGAACAGGAUUAGAUACCCUGGUAGUCCACGCCGUAAACGGUGGGUACUAGGUGUGGGUUUCCUUCCUUGGGAUCCGUGCCGUAGCUAACGCAUUAAGUACCCCGCCUGGGGAGUGCGGCCGCAAGGCUAAAACUCAAAGAAAUUGGCGGGGGCCCGCACAAGCGGCGGAGCAUGUGGAUUAAUUCGAUGCAACGCGAAGAACCUUACCUGGGUUUGACAUGCACAGGACGCCGGCAGAGAUGUCGGUUCCCUUGUGGCCUGUGUGCAGGUGGUGCAUGGCUGUCGUCAGCUCGUGUCGUGAGAUGUUGGGUUAAGUCCCGCAACGAGCGCAACCCUUGUCCUAUGUUGCCAGCGGGUUAUGCCGGGGACUCCUAAGAAACUGCCGGGGUCACUCCGAAGAAAGGUGGGGGAUGAACGUCAAAUCAUCCUGGCCCCUUAUGUCCAGGGGUUUCACCAUGCUUCAAUGGGCCGGUUCAAAAGGGUUCCGAUUCCCUGGAGGUGGAGACAAAUCCUCUCUAAAGCCGGGCUCAGUUUGAGAAUACGGGGGUGGCGACCUCC